rnacentral:rRNA from 1 species
GACGAACGCUGGCGGCGUGCUUAACACAUGCAAGUCGAACGGUGAAGGGACCGGUUUUUGCUGGUUCUGGAUGAGUGGCGAACGGGUGAGUAACACGUGAGUAACCUGCCCCUUUCUUCUGGAUAACCGCAUGAAAGUGUGGCUAAUACGGGAUAUUCUGCGCCUGCUGCAUGGUGGGUGUGGGAAAGAUAUUGUUUCGGUGGGGGAUGGGCUCGCGGCCUAUCAGCUUGUUGGUGGGGUGAUGGCCUACCAAGGCGGUGACGGGUAGCCGGCCUGAGAGGGUGGACGGUCACACGGGGACUGAGACACGGCCCAGACUCCUACGGGAGGCAGCAGUGUGGAAUAUUGCACAAUGGGCGCAAGCCUGAUGCAGCGACGCCGCGUGAGGGAUGGAGGCCUUCGGGUUGUAAACCUCUUUCGCCAGUGAAGCAGGCCUGUCCCUUUUGUGGGUGGGUUGACGGUAGCUGGAUAAGAAGCGCCGGCUAACUACGUG